rnacentral:rRNA from 1 species
GAUGAACGCUGGCGGCGUGCCUAAUACAUGCAAGUCGAGCGAACAGACGCGGAGCUUGCUCCUCUCACGUUAGCGGAGGACGUGUGAGUAACAUGUGGAUAACCUCCCUAUAAGACUGGGAUAACUUCGGGACACCGGCGCUAAUCCCGGAUAAUAUAUUGAACCGCAUGGUUCAAUAGUGAAAGACGGUUUUGCUGUCACUUAUAGAUGGAUCUGGGCCGCAUUAGCUAGUUGGUAAGGUACAGGCUUACCAAGGCGACGAUGCGUAGCCGACUUGAGAGAGUGAUAGGCCACACGGGAACUGAGACAGCGUCCAGGCGCCUACGGUAGGCAGCAGUAGGGAAUCUUCCGCAGUAGGCGAAAGCCUUGCGGAGCGGCGCGGCGUGAGAUGUAGAGGUCUUCGGAUCGGAAUACUCUGUUAUUAGGUAAAAACAAAUUUGUAAGGAACUGUGCACGGCGUGACGGUACCUAGUCAAAAAGCCACGGCUAACUACGUG